GGGCACGUAGUAUAAUGGAUAGUACACGAGUCCGCUAAACUCACUAUCUGGGUUCGAUUCCCGGCGUGCCCG
rnacentral:tRNA from 1 species